rnacentral:lncRNA from 10 species
CAACACAUCCAAAGUGCACCUCGUGCUCUGAAGCAGCACACUGCUGCUGAGCGCUAUGGCAGAUGCCAUGGGUGAGCCCUCGGCACCCACUGCUGUUUCUUCACAGCAGGCUUCUCAUCCAUGCAGAGCCUGGAAAGCUGAAAGCGACAUUCCCCAAGUCCCCUUGCAGCUGGGGGUCAGAAUGGAUGGCCUUUGCCAAGCACCUGCCUGAGAUUGUCUUCUCCCUCCCUUUCCAUGUGCUCACCUGAAAGCUCAAGGCUCCAGAUAGAAGAACU